UAAAUGCCAAUAAAACUCCAUAUCAUAUAAAAAUUGAUCUUAUAUCCAUAACUAUUAUAUUAUUAAUUAAUAUAAUGAAAGGAAUUAAGACAAAUCAUAAUGACCCUUAUAAUAUGGGCUAUAGACGUGCUAUAAUAAAAUAAUAAAUAAAGUUAAAUAAUAUAUUAAUAAAUAAUAUAUAAUAAAUAACAUAAAAUAUUUUAAUAUUUAAUAUAUUUUUAUAUUAUAUAUAAUAUGAAUUAUUAACUGUAAUUUGUUAAUAUGAAAUAAGAAUUGUUAGUAAUACGUAAAUUAGUAUGUUACGGUGA
rnacentral:rRNA from 1 species